rnacentral:rRNA from 1 species
GCUGGCGGCGUGCUUAACACAUGCAAGUCGAACGGAAAGGUCUCUUCGGAGAUACUCGAGUGGCGAACGGGUGAGUAACACGUGGGUAAUCUGCCCUGCACUUCGGGAUAAGCCUGGGAAACUGGGUCUAAUACCGGAUAGGACCAAAAGGCGCAUGCCUUGUGGUGGAAAGCUUUUGCGGUGUGGGAUGGGCCCGCGGCCUAUCAGCUUGUUGGUGGGGUGACGGCCUACCAAGGCGACGACGGGUAGCCGGCCUGAGAGGGUGUCCGGCCACACUGGGACUGAGAUACGGCCCAGACUCCUACGGGAGGCAGCAGUGGGGAAUAUUGCACAAUGGGCGCAAGCCUGAUGCAGCGACGCCGCGUGGGGGAUGACGGCCUUCGGGUUGUAAACCUCUUUCACCAUCGACGAAGGUCCGGGUUUUCUCGGAUUGACGGUAGGUGGAGAAGAAGCACCGGCCAACUACGUGCCAGCAGCCGCGGUAAUACGUAGGGUGCGAGCGUUGUCCGGAAUUACUGGGCGUAAAGAGCUCGUAGGUGGUUUGUCGCGUUGUUCGUGAAAUCUCACGGCUUAACUGUGAGCGUGCGGGCGAUACGGGCAGACUGGAGUACUGCAGGGGAGACUGGAAUUCCUGGUGUAGCGGUGGAAUGCGCA